rnacentral:rRNA from 1 species
AGUGAACGCUGGCGGUAGGCCUAACACAUGCAAGUCGAACGGCAGCACAGUAAGAGCUUGCUCUUACGGGUGGCGAGUGGCGGACGGGUGAGGAAUACAUCGGAAUCUACUUUUUCGUGGGGGAUAACGUAGGGAAACUUACGCUAAUACCGCAUACGACCUACGGGUGAAAGCAGGGGAUCUUCGGACCUUGCGCGAUUGAAUGAGCCGAUGUCGGAUUAGCUAGUUGGCGGGGUAAAGGCCCACCAAGGCGACGAUCCGUAGCUGGUCUGAGAGGAUGAUCAGCCACACUGGAACUGAGACACGGUCCAGACUCCUACGGGAGGGAGCAGUGGGGAAUAUGGGACAAUGGGCGCAAGCCUGAUCCAGCCAUACCGCGUGGGUGAAGAAGGCCUUCGGGUUGUAAAGCCCUUUUGUGGGGAAAGAAAAGCAGCAGGUUAAUACCCCGCUGUUCUGACGGUACCCAAAGAAUAAGCACCGGCUAACUUCGUG